CUAGGAAUUUCUAGUUUCCGGAGGGGAGAGGUCAUGUCGUUUAUGUAAAGUUAAGAACUCAUAAGCGUAUGGCUUUUCCCCUUUGGAAUCUGGAAGAGCAUC
rnacentral:pre_miRNA from 11 species